rnacentral:rRNA from 1 species
UACGAGGGGGGCGAGCGUUGUUCGGAAUUAUUGGGCGUAAAGGGUGCGUAGGCGGUUUGUUAAGUCCGUUGUGAAAGCCCCGAGCUCAACUUGGGAAUUGCAGUGGAUACUGGCAGGCUGGAGUACGGUAGAGGAAGGUGGAAUUCCCGGUGUAGCAGUGAAAUGCGUAGAUAUCGGGAGGAACACCAGUGGCGAAGGCGGCCUUCUGGACCAGUACUGACGCUCAUGCACGAAAGCGUGGGGAGCAAACAGG